AUGUCAGGGAUGGCCCUCACCAGACUCUCCCAGGAGCAAAAAGCUUGGAGGAAAGACCACCCUUUUGUGGCUGUCCUGACAAAAAAAUUCCAACGGCACGAAGAACCUCAUGAACUGGGAGUGCGCCAUUCCAGGAAAGAAGAAGAUUCCAUGGAAAGGAGGUUUGUUCAAGCUGCGGAUGCUUUUCAAGGUUGACUACCCAUCCUCACCUCCAAAGUGUAAAUUUGAACCUCCAUUAUUUCACCCCAACGUGUCCCCUUCGGGCAUGCUGUGCCUGUCCAUCCUGGAGGAGGACGAGGACUGGAGGCCAGCCAUCAUGAUCAAACAGAUCUUACCAGGAAUACAGAAACUUCUAAAUGAACCAAAUACCCAAGACCCAGUGCAAACAGAGGCCUACAUGAUUUACUGCCCAAACAGAGCGGACUGUGAGAAAAGGGUUCGAGCACAAGCUAAGAAGUUUGCACCCUCAUAAGCAGUGACCUGUGUCAUCGCAAGAAGGAAGGGAUUGGUUUGGCAAGAACUUAACAUUUUUGCAAAUCUAAAGUUGCUCAUACACUUACUAGUCACCUAGGGGAGGGCUCGGUGGGCACCAUCUUCCAUU